GUGGGGAUCUGACUGUUUUUAAGUAUUCAAACAUGAGGGGUUAGGUGGGGUGACACCAUGGACUCAACCUAAAUUUAAUUAAUUUGAUUUGUUUUAUGGUCCUGUGAUCAUUACUGAAAACCAUGUGUGUCUGUCACUUACUGUUUUCUUCAAGUUUAUAAUUUAUUAUUGUUAUUGAAAAUUUAAAAAAAAAUCCCUUAGGGUUCUUUAGUAAAUUCCUCCCUUCUGUUGGCCCCUCAAAAUACAACUAAAUAGACCCCAAGGAGAAAAAUAAUAAGAACUGAGCAAAAACUUUGUUUAGGAGUCUUAAUAGCAAUUAGUAUAAUUACGAUUUUUGUUAUAGUCCGAUUUCUAAUGCCGAAUAUGUAAAAGGCCGAGUUUAUUAUAGUCCGAGUUUGUUGUGGGCCGAG
rnacentral:lncRNA from 1 species